rnacentral:lncRNA from 1 species
CCCAACGCAACAACUCCGUAUACAACGCAUAUUCCCCCCACAGCCGUAUCAAAGCAAAGGCAGAAGCAGCAGCAGCAGCAGCAGCAGCAGCCGCCGAAAGAGUCCCCUUGGGUUUUGCGCGCCGGCUCUUCCGUUCCUCGCUUCUGCACACAGCCGCGCGCCAACGCCGCGUCGCCUUUCGAACACCUCGCCAAGGCACACACACACACACAUACACACACACGCGCGCGCACACAGCGUUAAUAACGCGCGAGCGCGAGCGCCCGCGCGAAAGACCACGCGCGCACAGGCCCGACUUCGACGACAUUAAUAUACCGCGAGGCCGGCGGCGGGGGGAGCAGGGGGGCACCGAGAAAGAGUGACCGAGCGAGACGGAGACACAUACGUCUUGCAGAGGGGGCAAGAAACUUGUGAAAAAGAGCGAGAGAGAGAGAGAGAGAGAGAGUGAUAGACCAAGAGAGAUGAGACGCGUUUUCGCCCGCGUGUGUACAUGUUAUGGAAGAAAUAUAUAUUACGCGCUAUCAAAGGGUUGAGGAAAUACGGAAAGGUGGGGGAAUACGCGAAACAGAGGAAGAAGAGCUGCGAAAAGAGGGAAUACGAACGAACGAAGAAUCCGAGUGACGAGAGAGUGUGCCCCGGACGCCGCGAUUCCACAUGUCUUUUUUUGCCUCCUGUAAAAAACGCCAAAAUUCUAACGACAUGAAUUUCUGUAAUCGUUAACCAAUGGAUAGCCAUGGAUCUACUGAAAUAUUGUGAAACUUAUUCGGGAUACGGGAAAAUAUGCUUGGAAUAUAUAACGGAAUCGUAUGACCAUUUUUAGUGUUUCUGUUUAAGCGAGGAUCUUUUUGAAGGAAGGACGAAUUUCGUCACGUAACAUUGAUCAACGUGUGAUAUUAGAUAGUGCUAAAUUGAACCAAUUGUUCGUCUAUACGUGUGUGUGUGUGUGUGUGUGUGCGCUUGUAUAUAUCUUACAGAUACAUGUGUGCAAACGCGUGUGCGUGAGUUUGUAUAUAAGUGUAUAAAUAUAUACAUAGACAGAUGUGCGUGAAUAUAUAAAUACGAGGAAUGAAAAGUGUCGGAAAGUCUGACCGGAAGUACCGCUCGUUCGAGCCGCCUCGACUUUUAACCGGUGAAAAUAGUGGAAAUUAUUUCCGAUAAAAUCCUUCCGAAUUGGUGACGAAGAGUCAUCGUGCUUGAAUAUUCAUUCCGAUUUACUCUGUUACGAACUCGCCGGCGUGCGGAUUUGCGCUCGUUUACCUUCGGGGCUUUUCGGAUUUUCAAAUUUCCAUCGGUCGCCCUGCGUCGCCAAACUCGCGCGGCACUUUCGAACCCGUGCGAACGAUUAAUCCCUCGUUUUUCUACGAGAAUAGAAAUCCCGCUGAUUUAUUCAGUUCUCGCAACAAAACCGCGCCGAUUUUCGCGUGUGCGAGCCAUCGAAUCCGAGGAAAUAACUAUCCGAUUGACAUCUUAGGAGGAAAACAGUUUUCGCGCUCAAAAACAGUUGAGACUACUUUUACACGAAACAUCCAACGGGAUUCGAGCUCCUCGGGAAAACGCCGGUUCGCUCGUGUGCGCGGCGAAACAAAAUAGCGAAGCGUGCGCGACGCUCUCUGACUUUAUUUCGGCACCUCUCUCUCUCUCCCUCUUUCGACUUGCACCGACGGCGGCUCCCGUCACCCACAACUUUUAUGAAGAGUUUCAAUAAACUACUCGUCACCAUCUGCGCGCAGGAUUCCCUCGACGAGUGCCGGAAAUUAAGAGAAAACGAUGCUUACGAACGGACCGCGCUCAUCGACGAUUUUCCACAGUUCGUAAAGUACUCGCUACUUAAAAAAUAUAGACAAAAGUCGAAAGAAAGAUCGCGGGUGUGAACGAAAAUGGAAAUUCGACUCCGGUUCUCGACUCGAACUGCGGCAGUCGAUUUUUCGGAAGGUACGAGGCGUAAAAACGUAAGCGAGAAACAAUAGUUAUCGCGCAAAUACGUGGAAUCAACAAAAGUGGAAAGGGACAGAGAACCGAGGGAAAGAAGAAUCGCUGCCGAAUCGGAGUGCUGAGUUUUUAUUCGUAUUUUGUUUUGUCGCCCCACGACUCGGCCAGAAAAUCGAUAAAAAUCGUGCUUUCAAAAUUUCGUUGUUCACGUUAAUGCUCUCGUGUCUGUGAUUCGAAACAGUGGUGAUGCAAAGAGAAACUAGUUUUUCGUUGAAAUUCAAGUUUCCGUUGUUACUCUCGUGCUGGGUUCUUCGUGUCUGAGAACCGCGUGCGUUUAUAUGCGAUAAUUAUUUCCUCCCACUUGAGUCACACGUCAAUUUUAUUUCCACGAAAUUUCGCAAUCUCGAAGGAGGGGCCGAGAGACACUUGGAAAAACCGGAAAAUUUCGAGAUCCUGAGCGAUCUAACUCGAGCUCGAAAUAAAUAUGUAAAGAAAUUGCAACCUCGUCGCUUACGUCACGGGGAUAACGGAAACUAUACGAGAAGAAGGGUGAUCCGUUGAACCUGGAGAUCAGAACGGGCGACGCCAGCAAGUCGUCGAUUUAGCAGAGUCCUCGAGGGCUUGCACGACCUGAAGAUUUUUUCUGUUGUUUUGUUUUUGUUCGCUUUCCUUCCUCCCCGUGGGCCUGUGAUUGGUGAGGAAAGACCCUGGCUGAUGUAUAUACGAAGGGAGCUUGGAACAGUGGGCGUAACGGAGAAAAAUUGCGAUUCGAAAGAUUGGCGAACGAAAGACGAGUGACGUACGAAUAAAAGGGAGAAGAAGAAAAUAAAAGUAAAGGAAACUCAGUGUCGUACGAGUCAAUGAGAAUCGUGGGGGGAAUCUAAUAAUCGGCACAAUCUUGCCUGCUGAUUAGGAAACGACGAAGAUCGACUCUUCGGUAAUUCAUGCCUUAAAACUACUCAUCCACUCCUCGUCUGAGAAUUCAAACUAAAUAGAUUAGCGGAAUUUUGAACGCUUGGAGCGAAAAAUAGAGAAAAUAAGCGUUCGAAAACGAGAGGAAAAAAGUACUCGAGUUUAUGGCUGAAUAGAAAAGACAGAAAUAACAAAUAGUUAACGCGUUAUAAGAUUCGAAGCAACUCUCUGAGAGAAUUGAGCCACCAUCGCCAUUUUUUUCUGCACCACUGCCAAAUUGGCCCGAGUACGAGACCCACGGAAAAAUAAGGAGAUUCUGCCCCGGAAAGGAGAGGCUAACGGCUGAAAAUCGUUCAUCAUCCUCGGCCGAAACAGCAUGGGAAAAACGAGCAGAACGAGGGACGUCAGCUAGGGGAAAAACGAGCUUUUCAUGUGCAAGAAAACAUUGAGGAUUCCUCACACAAAUACGCUGCAACCGUGGCAACGACCCGAAGAACUUUGCCAACGUGAAGCUGUCGAUGACUUCAAGGUAGAUCGCGACGCGGACACUGAAGAAAUUACGAGGUGUGUCCUACACGCGGGUACACGAGAGCAAGGCGACAAAAAUCACACAUCCUAAGAUGUGAUUUUAAAAAUGGCGGAGUGCCCCUAUGCUCGCUGCAUACAGGAACGCAGACACAUCAGGAGGGAACUGCUGCGAUGGACAAAGAAUAUGGUCUUCGUAGUUGGUCUGGAACGGGUAGCGGAAGAGUUGAUGGGCCGUAGGAGAUGGAAGCAAUACCAGGACACCCUGUACAGCAGCACUCGGAGCGAAUCAGCAAAUCAGCCCCAUCAUCAUCAUCAUCAUCGGCUGUAUCCGGGUACUGCUCUUUCGAGUUCUUGCAACGUCGUAACGGUAGGUGGUGGUGGUGUUGG